UGAUAGGUUAAGAGCUAAUUAACUGGACGUUACCCACAGAAGAAGCACCGGCUAACUCCGUGCCAGCAGCCGCGGUAAUACGGAGGGUGUGAGCGUUAAUCGGAAUUACUGGGCGUAAAGGGUGCGUAGGUGGUUGAUUAAGUUAUCUGUGAAAUCCCUGGGCUUAACCUGGGACGGUCAGAUAAUACUGGUUGACUCGAGUAUGGGAGAGGGUAGUGGAAUUUCCGGUGUAGCGGUGAAAUGCGUAGAGAUCGGAAGGAACACCAGUGGCGAAGGCGGCUACCUGGCCUAAUACUGACACUGAGGCACGAAAGCGUGGGGAGCAAACAGGAUUAGAUACCCUGGUAGUCCACGCUGUAAACGAUGUCAACUAGCUGUUGGUUAUAUGAAAAUAAUUAGUGGCGCAGCAAACGCGAUAAGUGACAUGUACAG
rnacentral:rRNA from 1 species